rnacentral:rRNA from 1 species
UACGGAGGGUGCAAGCGUUAUCCGGAUUCACUGGGUUUAAAGGGUGCGUAGGUGGGCAAGUAAGUCAGUGGUGAAAUCUCCGGGCUUAACUCGGAAAGGUCAACUGAUACUGUGCGACUAGAGUGCAGAAGGGGCAACUGGGAAUUCUCGGUGUAGCGGUGAAAUGCGUAGAUAUCGAGAGGAACACCUGCGGCGAAGGCGGGUUGCUGGGCUGACACU